rnacentral:rRNA from 1 species
CGUGAAGCUGGAUUCGCUAGUAAUCGCGCAUCAGCCAUGGCGCGGUGAAUACGUUCCCGGGCCUUGUACACACCGCCCGUCAAGCCAUGGGAGCCGGGAGUGCCUGAAGUCCGUGACCGCGAGGAGCGGCCUAGGGUAAGACCGGUGACUGGGGCUAAGUCGUAACAAGGUAUC